UUUUCCCUGGCAGAGGGACAAUGGGAGGAGAAGGGGGGAGGAGGAGAGAGACAGAAGCACGAGGGAAACACUUCUAUUCCUUCUUCGUUAAAGACGCAGGAAUACCAAGAAAAGACUACGAUUCAAGGAAUUAUUGUUCCGCUCCCCUUUUGGAAAGUACAUUUACUCCCUUACUGUACUUCUACUCUAUGAUGCUUUAUACCUCUGCUCCACUGCAUUUAUUCAACAGAUUUUACAUUAAAAAUCAGCGUCCAGACUAUAAGCUUUGCAGUCCACCAGGAGCUGAUUGGUUUGGAUGAGCUUCAGGUGAUGAAGCUCUCCGUCACUCGCUGCAGAGACAGGAAAUGGUGCUGUUACACACAGGAAACGAGCUGAUGGCAGAGAUAAGGUGGACAAAUGGCUCCGGAAAUCAAAACAAGUCCAUGCUGAUGCAGCGGAGAGGAGACGGGCAGGAAUCAAAGGAACACUUUAG